rnacentral:rRNA from 1 species
UACGGAGGGUGCGAGCGUUGUCCGGAAUCACUGGGCGUAAAGAGCUCGUAGGCGGCUUGUCGCGUCGACUGUGAAAACCCGCGGCUCAACCGCGGGCCUGCAGUCGAUACGGGCAGGCUAGAGUUCGGUAGGGGAGACUGGAAUUCCUGGUGUAGCGGUGAAAUGCGCAGAUAUCAGGAGGAACACCGAUGGCGAAGGCGGGUCUCUGGGCAGUAACUGACGCUGAGGAGCGAAAAGCGUGGGGGAGCGAACAGG